rnacentral:misc_RNA from 1 species
AUGCUGAUCUGGCGCCACGGCC